GGUUGACCUCGGAUUAGGUAGGGAAUACCG
rnacentral:rRNA from 1 species